rnacentral:rRNA from 1 species
UACGUAGGGAGCAAGCGUUGUCCGGAAUCAUUGGGCGUAAAGCGCGCGUAGGUGGCCCCAUAAGUCCGCUGUGAAAGUCGAAGGCUCAACCUUCGAAAGCCGGUGGAUACUGUGGGACUAGAGUACGGAAGAGGCGAGUGGAAUUCCUGGUGUAGCGGUGGAAUGCGCAGAUAUCAGGAGGAACACCAAUAGCGAAGGCAGCUCGCUGGGACGUUACUGACACUGAGGCGCGAAAGCGUGGGGAGCGAACGGG